AUUGAACGCUGGCGGCAGGCCUAACACAUGCAAGUCGAAAGAGUGGCGGACGGGUGAGUAAUGUGUGGGAAACUGCCCGAGGGAGGGGGAGAUAUAGUGGAAACUGUAGCUAAUACCGUAUAACCUCGUAUGUGCCCAGAUGGGUAUAGCUAGGAGGUGGGGUAAUGGCUCACCUAGGCGACGAUCCCUAGCUGGUCUGAGAGGAUGACCAGCCACACUGGAACUGAGACACGGUCCAGACUCCUACGGGAGGCAGCAGUGGGGAAUAUUGCACAAUGGGCGCAAGCCUGAUGCAGCCAUGCCGCGUGUAUGAAGAAGGCCUUCGGGUUGUAAAGUACUUUCAGCGAGGAGGCGUUACUCGCAGAAGAAGCACCGGCUAACUCCGUGCCAGCAGCCGCGGUAAUUC
rnacentral:rRNA from 1 species